GGAUGAACGCUGGCGGCGUGCCUAAUACAUGCAAGUCGAGCGAACAGACGAGGAGCUUGCUCCUCUGACGUUAGCGGCGGACGGGUGAGUAACACGUGGAUGACCUACCUAUAAGACUGGGAUAACUUCGGGAAACCGGAGCUAAUACCGGAUAAUAUAUUGAACCGCAUGGUUCAAUAGUGAAAGACGGUUUUGCUGUCACUUAUAGAUGGAUCCGCGCCGCAUUAGCUAGUUGGUAAGGUAACGGCUUACCAAGGCAACGAUGCGUAGCCGACCUGAGAGGGUGAUCGGCCACACUGGAACUGAGACACGGUCCAGACUCCUACGGGAGGCAGCAGUAGGGAAUCUUCCGCAAUGGGCGAAAGCCUGACGGAGCAACGCCGCGUGAGUGAUGAAGGUCUUCGGAUCGUAAAACUCUGUUAUUAGGGAAGAACAAAUGUGUAAGUAACUAUGCACGUCUUGACGGUACCUAAUCAGAAAGCCACGGCUAACUACGU
rnacentral:rRNA from 1 species